GGCAUGUUUUUUUUUUCUCUUUUACCAAUGGCUUAUUUCUUCUUCUUUUUUUGACAACAAAGGCUCCAUAUAUUAUUAAAUUACCUCCUAGAAGUUGGUCUCUGGAACCAUCCUGCUUAGGGGAAGAGUGUUUACAUGGGAGAAGAUUAUUAGAUAUAGAGAAGUGUACAUAAUACACGUGUACAUACUUGUAUAUAUAUACUCACAUGUACAUUCAUUCAUUAAUUAAUAAGAGAUAUACUUUAAGUUUGUUACACU
rnacentral:lncRNA from 1 species